AUUGAACGCUGGCGGCAUGCUUUACACAUGCAAGUCGAACGGUAACAGGGAGCUUGCUCCGCUGACGAGUGGCGAACGGGUGAGUAAUGCGUCGGAACGUGCCGAGUAGUGGGGGAUAACGCAUCGAGAGGUGUGCUAAUACCGCAUACGUACUGAGGUAGAAAGUGGGGGACCUUCGGGCCUCACGCUAUUCGAGCGGCCGACGUCUGAUUAGCUAGUUGGUGAGGUAAAGGCUCACCAAGGCGACGAUCAGUAGCGGGUCUGAGAGGAUGAUCCGCCACACUGGGACUGAGACACGGCCCAGACUCCUACGGGAGGCAGCAGUGGGGAAUUUUGGACAAUGGGCGCAAGCCUGAUCCAGCCAUGCCGCGUGUCUGAAGAAGGCCUUCGGGUUAUAAAGGACUUUUGUCCGGGAGCAAAUGCCUGGUGUUAAUAGCAUCGGGAGCUGAGAGUACCGGAAGAAUAAGCACCGGCUAACUACGUGCCAGCAGCCGCAGUAAUAC
rnacentral:rRNA from 1 species